GUUAAGUCCCGCAACGAGCGCAACCCUUGUCUUUAGUUGCCAUCAUUAAGUUGGGCACUCUAGAGAGACUGCCAGGGAUAACCUGGAGGAAGGUGGGGAUGACGUCAAAUCAUCAUGCCCCUUAUGCUUAGGGCUACACACGUGCUACAAUGGGUAGUACAGGGGGUUGCCAAGCCGUAAGGUGGAGCUAAUCCCUUAAAGCUACUCUCAGUUCGGAUUGUAGGCUGAAACUCGCCUACAUGAAGCUGGAGUUACUAG
rnacentral:rRNA from 1 species